rnacentral:miRNA from 12 species
UUAUGGACAAAAUGCUCUCUUUU